rnacentral:rRNA from 1 species
CCUAGGGGUGGCAGCAGUGGGGAAUAUUGGACAAUGGGCGAAAGCCUGAUCCAGCCAUGCCGCGUGUGUGAAGAAGGCCUUCGGGUUGUAAAGCACUUUCAGUGGGGAAGAAAGCCUUGGGGCUAAUACCCUCGAGGAAGGACAUCACCCACAGAAGAAGCACCGGCUAACUCCGUGCCAGCAGCCGCGGUAAUACGGAGGGUGCGAGCGUUAAUCGGAAUUACUGGGCGUAAAGCGCGCGUAGGCGGUCUGAUAAGCCGGUUGUGAAAGCCCCGGGCUCAACCUGGGAACGGCAUCCGGAACUGUCAGGCUAGAGUGCAGGAGAGGAAGGUAGAAUUCCCGGUGUAGCGGUGAAAUGCGUAGAGAUCGGGAGGAAUACCAGUGGCGAAGGCGGCCUUCUGGACUGACACUGACGCUGAGGUGCGAAAGCGUGGGUAGCAAACAGGAUUAGAUACCCUAGUAGU